rnacentral:rRNA from 1 species
UACGUAGGUUGCAAGCGUUAUUCGGAAUUACUGGGCGUAAAGCGUGCGUAGGCGGUUUCUUACGUCUGCUGUGAAAGCCCUGGGCUCAACCUGGGAAUGGCGGUGGAUACUGAGAAGCUGGAGUACGGUAGAGGAAGGUGGAAUUCCUGGUGUAGCAGUGAAAUGCGUAGAUAUCAGGAGGAACACCUAUGGCGAAGGCAGGUCACUGGGCCGCAACUGACGCUGAGGAGCGAAGGCAUGGGGAGCGAACAGG